AGAGUUUGAUCAUGGCUCAGGAUGAACGCUGGCGGCGUGCCUAACACAUGCAAGUCGAGCGGGAUUGUUUUGAAGCUUGCUUCGAAACAAUCUAGCGGCGGACGGGUGAGUAACGCGUGGGCAACCUACCCUGUACAGAGGGACAACAACGGGAAACCGUUGCUAAUACCUCAUGAAACCCUGAAGGGGCAUCCCUUAUGGGUCAAAGAAUCUCGGUACAGGAUGGGCCCGCGUCUGAUUAGCUAGUUGGUGAGGUAAUGGCUCACCAAGGCGACGAUCAGUAGCCGACCUGAGAGGGUGAUCGGCCACACUGGAACUGAGACACGGUCCAGACUCCUACGGGAGGCAGCAGUGGGGAAUAUUGCACAAUGGGCGCAAGCCUGAUGCAGCAACGCCGCGUGAGCGAUGAAGGCCUUCGGGUCGUAAAGCUCUGUCCUAAGGGAAGAAUAAUGACGGUACCUUGGGAGGAAGCCCCGGCUAACUACGUGCCAGCAGCCGCGGUAAUACGUAGGGGGCAAGCGUUAUCCGGAAUCACUGGGCGUAAAGGGUGCGUAGGCGGCUCUUCAAGUCAGGGGUGAAAGGCUACGGCUCAACCGUAGUAAGCCUUUGAAACUGUAGAGCUUGAGUGCAGGAGAGGAGAGUGGAAUUCCUAGUGUAGCGGUGAAAUGCAGAUAUUAGGAGGAACACCAGUGGCGAAGGCGACUCUCUGGACUGUAACUGACGCUGAGGCACGAAAGCGUGGGGAGCAAACAGGAUUAGAUACCCUAGUAGUCC
rnacentral:rRNA from 1 species